CCUACGGGUGGCAGCAGUGAGGAAUAUUGGUCAAUGGGCGCGAGCCUGAACCAGCCAAGCAGCGUGAAGGAUGACUGCCCUACGGGUUUUAAACUUCUUUUAUAAAGGACUAAAGUGAGGCACGUGUGCCUUUUUGUAUGUACGUUAUGAAUAAGGACCGGCUAACCCGGUGCCAGCAGCCGCGGUAAUACGGAGGAUCCGAGCGUUACCCGGAUUUAUUGGGUUUAAGGGGAGCGUAGAUGGGUUGUUAAGUCAGUUGUGAAAGUUUGCGGCUCAUCCGGAAAAGUGCAAUUGAUACUGGCAGCCUUGAGUACAGUUGAGGUAGGCGGAAUGCGUGGUGUAGCGGUGAAAUGCUUAGAUAUCACGAAGAACUCCGAUUGCGAAGGCAGCUUACUAAACUGCCACUGACAUUGAUGCUCGAAAGUGUGGGUAUCAAACAGGAUUAGAUACCCCAGUAGUC
rnacentral:rRNA from 1 species